rnacentral:rRNA from 1 species
CCUACGGGUGGCUGCAGUGGGGAAUAUUGCACAAUGGGGGAAACCCUGAUGCAGCGACGCCGCGUGAGUGAAGAAGUAUCUCGGUACGUAAAGCUCUAUCAGCAGGGAAGAAAAUGACGGUACCUGACUAAGAAGCCCCGGCUAACUACGUGCCAGCAGCCGCGGUAAUACGUAGGGGGCAAGCGUUAUCCGGAUUUACUGGGUGUAAAGGGAGCGUAGACGGCAGCACAAGUCUGGAGUGAAAUCCCGGGGCUUAACCCCGGAACUGCUUUGGAAACUGUGCGGCUGGAGUGCAGGAGGGGUAAGCGGAAUUCCUAGUGUAGCGGUGAAAUGCGUAGAUAUUAGGAGGAACACCGGUGGCGAAGGCAGCUUACUAAACUGUGACUGACAUUGAUGCUCGAAAGUGUGGGUAUCAAACAGGAUUAGAUACCCGGGUAGUC